rnacentral:rRNA from 1 species
CGGAGGGAUCAUUAAAGAGUUCUAUAACUCCCAAACCCAUGUGAACAUACCUAACGUUGCCUCGGCAGGUCGCACCUACCUUGUAGCACCCUACCCUGUAGGGCCUACCCGGGAGGUGCGGGUAAGCCUGCCGGCGGCCCACCAAACUCUGUUUGAUAUUGAAUUCUGAACCUAUAACUAAAUAAGUUAAAACUUUCAACAACGGAUCUCUUGGUUCUGGCAUCGAUGAAGAACGCAGCGAAAUGCGAUAAGUAAUGUGAAUUGCAGAAUUCAGUGAAUCAUCGAAUCUUUGAACGCAUAUUGCGCCCAUUAGUAUUCUAGUGGGCAGGACCGUUCGAGCGUCAUUUCAACCCUUAAGCCUUCGUUGCUUAGUGUUGGGAGCCUACGGCAACGUAGCUCCUCAAAGUUAGUGGCGGAGUUGGUUCACACUCUAGACGUAGUAAUUUUUUAUCUCGCCUAUUAGUUGGACUAAUCCCCUGCCGUAAAACCCCCAAUUUAUCAAGGUUGACCUCGAAUCGGUUCAGACAAACUCGCUAAAUUGAAGCAUCUUAGUCAGCGAAGGAAAAGAAACCAACAGGGAUUGCCCUAGUAACGGC